GACGUACACAUCACCAAUUAUUCAUAACAAAAACACAUGCUGCUAUAAAAUGCUUAUUUAUUACAUAUUGUUCUGUUUAAGGGAGUAAACAUUAUUUAUUUUAUAAACAUGUAACAGACAGCCAGAACAAAAAAAAAAAAAUUUUUCCAAACUCUUAAGCAAAUAUUCAAGUUAUGAAAAAGACAAAAGAAACAAAAACAGGC
rnacentral:lncRNA from 1 species